CACAUUGUGGGCUGAGGAAGCCAUACUGGGCAUGCUCCAGCUGUACCAGUAUAAAGGAGAGCAGCCCAGCUAAGUGUGAGAGAGAUGCUGGUGGGGAAGGAUGUGUACCAGGAGCUCCUGCUGAGGACAGCCUCCAGCCUGGGCCAAAGGGGAGCGGAGACAUAGACCCCAGCAGCCCAUGGAGCGGCCACUGCUGAGGAACUAAGAGCUCCCAACGGCUCCUGGACUACAAUGCCCGAGACCACGGUAGGAAGUGACCUGGGGCGGUGUCCGUGUGGUAUCUCCCACUGAGGUUCUACGUCCUAAGACCAUCCCACUAAAAACUUCCAGACUAAGAACCCACUACGAGGAUCUGGGUAACCCCUCAUCUUACUGGCAAAGUACUGAAGAGAAGGUCAACUCCCACUGGGUCUGAUACUCCCGCAUAAUAACAUUGCUGACUAACCUCCAUGGAAUCCAUCGCCCCAGUAAAUGAGGCCUCGGGCAGGAGGUUGAGGGGAGAUGCCCAGCUACAGACCCUCGGUCUGAUUUGUGGAAAGGCUGAGCCCUCAUAGAAGUCAAUCAGAGCUGUGCUUGGAAUAUAUGAAGUGCUAUUAAUGUUGAGUACUUUGAAAAAUCAGGCUCUUGACAUCUCAGCACCCAAAAGUAGUGGACAAUUUUGACAUUAAUCUCUUUGUUAAAUAGGCUAAUAGAAUAUAAGUGGGACAAUUUCAGGUAUUCACAUACAUGAAGGAAACAUUAGGUUUAUAAUUAGAAACUUUGAGCACAGCAUUACUAUUAUAAUAUUGGAUUUCACUGAGGACUUGUGUGUGAAUAGCCCAUGGUAUAACUGGGCCCUUGACUAGCGCUGGGAUUUUUUUCGCCACCAAACUAUUACUUUUUUGUUGACAAAAAAAAUGCAGAUUCAGCAACACCAAAACAUUUUGUGAAUUCAAGUUCAUUUUGCUGAAUUUCAAUUGGGAAAAACACUGACCCCUCCCCCCCCAAAAAAAAUCAAAGCUGCUUUUCAUUUUUUUCUAAAAGAAAUUUCAGUUUUGCAAUUAGAAAUAAAUGUUUAGAAACUUUUAAUUUUAAUAAAAAAUGUAACAUGUU